AAAUUCCCAGAAAAGGUCAGGUUGACCAUGAGACAGUGGUCAACCUUCACCCCAAAAAUAAAAUUCUAACAAUAAUUUUAAGUCAUAAAGAUAAAAUCAAUAAAAAAAGUGUGUUAAAAUGGACCAUUUAGAAUAAAUAAUUAAAAUAAAAUAUUAAUAUUAAAAAAAUACGAAAAUAAAAAUGAUAUAAAAUAAAUAAAACAUUAAGAAAAGUGAAAAAUAUUUUGGGUAAUUUU
rnacentral:lncRNA from 1 species